rnacentral:lncRNA from 1 species
UUGGGCCACUCCUGUGGCAUGUGGAGGUUCCCAGGCUAGGGGUCUAAUCGGAGUUGAAAAAAAAUAAAUGAGAAAACAUGAAAUGCCAACCUGAGUAAAAGACGGUCAGAAAUGGUCAUUUAGUCCUCUUAACUGAAUGGUGAGCGACCACUGGAAUUGAUUUGUAAUCUUUGAUGUAAUUAUUUAUGCAUUAAUUCCAUCCUAGACUUUUAAGGGAGCUAAUGGCAAACAUUUUACAUUCCUGUAAUAAUCAAAUGAUUUUAUUUCACGCACUUAUGCAUAAAUGUGUUGCAUUUAUUUACCUGAAAUAACACAACUGACUUUUAUUUCACUAUUUUAAAAUAUUUCCAGUUCUGACAGAUUUGGCCUUUCUUUCCCAAUGUCAACUUUAGAAAAGUUAAAAACCAAUUCAGUUGCUAACUGGAGAGCAGGUUUUGGAAAAGUUUAGACACUUAGUUCUUCAAAAAAUAUUUAAGGCUCAGUAAUAGGGAAACUUGAUUUUCUUUCGAUUUGAAAUAACUAUUGCCAAAGAAAAGAACUGUUCACAAGAUUUUGAGCAUUUUUUCCCUAUAGUUAGUUUUACUGUAUUGUUAUUAUACUUGCUUGAAAACUUGAUAACUUGUUCAAAUUUCAGAAUCUCAUCACUAUUUUCAUUCUGGGACUGAAGUGCAUUUCCAUCAGCAAAUAAAAAAACUUUGACGAAAGGUUUGUCACCUUUGAGCAUGAUUCACUGUCAUCUUCUCUCUAAAAUCUACAAAAACUCAACAUGAAAGACAUCAUCCUUCUAGGAGAUAACAUAAUUCAUACUCGCAAUGAUUCACCUGUACUGUAUUUGAAACCUGUUUAUUUUUCUCUAUCCUAGAUAAAAAUUAUUAGGUUGGUAGGAUCCUUUGUGAUCUCUAAUACUAUUAAUUUAAGCUGGUUUUUGCAUAUGAAAUUUUUCUAUAUUUUUCCAAAGUUACAAAUAACUAAGACUUCUCAAGAGACAAGAUGCCGUUACAAUUACAAAGAUCAGUGUGUGAUAAGGACUAAAGAACAAUACAAAGAAAUUGAGAUUAUAAUUUUUUCCUCUCAAAUAUUUACCUAAUGUAAUUUAAAGACUUUAAUGCCUACUGCAGUGCUGAAUACACUCACUUGAUUAAACCUUGUUCAAUAAAUGAGUAAACUUAAAAAAUAAAUAAAUAAAUGCAAGAACAAUCCAUCCACUAAGUGAAUAAUAACAUGGUUUCCAGAAAAAAAAAAUUGAUUACUAUUGUACAAAUAAGUGGAUGUAAAUUAUUUACAGCGAUAAAAUCUUUGGCAAAAUUCAAUACAAACGAAAAUCUAUACAAACAAAUUUUUCUCACCACGUAGUCAUUAUGAGAUUAGAGAAUGUACAAAGGUUCAGGUGUUGGCUCAAAGACAGUAAAUGAAGGGUAGGAAUAAAAGGAAGACUUCUCAAGGGAUGAAGGUAAUAGCUCUUCCAAGUUAUUGCUAUAGAUCACAAAGAUGUGUGAGCUUUGAAAUCCACAAGUUUGUGGACAUCAGUGAACCUGGGAAAAUGCCCAGUUAAGGAAGAUAAAUGAAACAGGAUGAUUAAAUGGAAAUUUUCAGGUGAGGUUCCUAAAACAGACAUCAUGUUAUAAAGAGGAUACUUAACACAAGAUUUAUAAAGCAGAUGUCAGAAAUUCCUAUCGUGGCUCAGCGGAAAGGAAAUCUGACUAGCAUCCAUGAGGACGCAGGUUGGAUCCCUGGCCUCCCUCAGUGGGUUGAGGAUCCGGCAUUGCCGUGAGCUGUGGUGUAGGUUGCAAACAUGGCUCAGAUUUGCAUUGCUGCGGCUGUGGCGCAGGCCAGGAGCUACAGCUCCGACUGGAUCCCUGACCUGGGAACCUCCAUAUGCCAUGAGUGCAGCCCUAAAAAGCAAAAAAAGAAAAAAGAAAAAAA